rnacentral:rRNA from 1 species
GACGAACGCUGGCGGCGUGCUUAACACAUGCAAGUCGAACGGAAAGGCCCUGCUUUUGUGGGGUGCUCGAGUGGCGAACGGGUGAGUAACACGUGAGUAACCUGCCCUUGACUUUGGGAUAACUUCGGGAAACUGGGGCUAUUACCGGAUAGAAGCUCUUGCUGCAGGGGGGGGGUUGGAAAGUUUCGGCGGUUGGGGAUGGACUCGCGGCUUAUCAGCUGGUUGGUGGGGUAGUGGCUUACCAAGGCUUUGACGGGUAGCCGGCCUGGGAGGGUGACCGGCCACAUUGGGACUGAGAUACGGCCCAGACUCCUACGGGAGGCAGCAGUGGGGAAUAUUGCACAAUGGGCGGAAGCCUGAUGCAGCAACGCCGCGUGCGGGAUGACGGCCUUCGGGUUGUAAACCGCUUUCGCCUGUGACGAAGCGUGAGUGACGGUAAUGGGUAAAGAAGCACCGGCUAACUACGUG